rnacentral:misc_RNA from 2 species
CCGAGUUUACAACUCCCAAACCCCUGUGAACAUACCUUAUGUUGCCUCGGCGGAUCAGCCCGCGCCCCGUAAAAAGGGACGGCCCGCCGCAGGAACCCUAAACUCUGUUUUUAGUGGAACUUCUGAGUAUAAAAAACAAAUAAAUCAAAACUUUCAAC